rnacentral:tRNA from 2 species
UCCUGGUUAGCUUAGUUGACAGAGCGCUCCACUGAAAAUGGAGAGGUCCCUGGUUCAAUACCGGGAUCAGGCU